CUUUUUUCUUAUUAUUUUUUUUCAUUAAGGUAGGCUCCCAAUAGUGAUAUGUAGAAAAAUAUGUGACAAACUAUAGAUGUUUUUAACAUCAGAGAUCAAAUGAUAUAUUGUCAUGAAUGUAAAACAGCAGAGGCCUGAUUGUUCCACUUAUUACCUUAAAGCUAAUGGCAUGCAUAUAACAGAUUGUGUUACCUAGGUGUGAAAAUUUUAAUUUCUAAAUGUAGAAAUCCACAACUCCUUAUACCGCAACCGGGCACCUCCAUCUAAGUUCCUUGUAAAUCGUUGUUAUACAUUCUGUCCUUUGCACCUUACAGUCAGCAUAGAGAGAAGAGGAGAAAUUAAAUAAUGUUUCUGUUACUGUUCCUCAUUUGUAAUGUGUGCCCUGGCUGGGCUUAGUUUGAACCUGAUUGUGAUGUGAUUUACUAAAUCUUUACUAUAAAUUUUAAAGGAAAACUUAGCAUCUCAUGAAAAAAAAAGUUUUACACAAAAUAUGUGAUUUUCAAUAUUUUUUGUUCAAUGGUGCAAUUUCCAGAGAAGUGAC